GAUGAACGCUGGCGGCGUGCCUAAUACAUGCAAGUCGAGCGAACGCACCAGGAGCUUGCUCCUCUGAUGUUAGCGGCGGACGGGUGAGUCACACGUGGAUAACCUAACUCUACGACUGGGAUAACUUUGGCAAACCGUAGCUACUACCGGAUAAUAUUUUGAACCUCAAGGUGCCAAAGUUAAAUACGGUCUUUCUUAGACUUAUAGAUGACUCAGGGCUCCAUCAGCUAGUUGUCAAGGUAACGGCUUAACAACGCAACGAUGCAUAGCCGACCUGAGAGGGUGAUCCGCCACACUGGAACAGAGGCACGGUACAGACUCCGACGGGAAGACGCAGUAGAGAAUCUUACGCGAGGGGCGAAAGCGUGACGGAGCAACGCCGCGUGAAGGAUGAAGGUCUUCGGAUCGGAGAACUCUGUUAUUAGGGAGGAACAAAUGUGUAAGUAACUGUGAACAUCUUGACGGUACCGGAACAGAAAGCCACGGCUAACUACGUG
rnacentral:rRNA from 1 species